rnacentral:rRNA from 1 species
AUGAGUCCACCAUACCUACCUAUAUACGGUAUCUACCUACCGUUCCAAGUAAAUUUGUAUGUGCCAAACUCUAAACCUUCAAAUAAAUAUCAUGUUUUGUAUGCUCGAAUAGCUCAUGUAUCAACCAGGGUUGUCCAUAUCUUCCAUGUUAGGUGGGUUAUUCUCAAGAGGAGUGGACUCCGCUCCUCACUCACGAGAAAAUGGCUGGUCACCGGGAUGCCCAGUCCCAUGCUUUAUGCAAAUCAAAUCAAAAUAAUUGCAAACCAAACUCCCCCUGGGACUCUUGUUAGUUGGAGGCACUCGUUAUUUCGAGCAAGCCAUGGAUUGAUGCUUGUUGGUGGAGGGGGAGUAUAA